UCCUCCGCUUAUUGAUAUGCUUAAGUUCAGCGGGUAUUCCUACCUGAUCCGAGGUCAACCUUGGGUAAAAAAGGCUUUUAACGGCCGGAACCCGCAGCACGCCCUGAGCGAGAUAAAAUCUACUACGCCCGGUGUGACAGCGAGCCCGCCACUGGUUUUCAGGGCCUGCGGCAGCCGCAGGUCCCCAACACAAGCCUGGGGCUUGAUGGUUGAAAUGACGCUCGAACAGGCAUGCCCGCCAGAAUACUGGCGGGCGCAAUGUGCGUUCAAAGAUUCGAUGAUUCACUGAAUUCUGCAAUUCACAUUACUUAUCGCAUUUCGCUGCGUUCUUCAUCGAUGCCAGAACCAAGAGAUCCGUUGUUGAAAGUUUUGACUUAUUCAGUACAGAAGACUCAGAGAGGCCAUAAUAAUCAAGAGUUGGGUUUCCUCCGGCGGGCGCCCCGCUAGGGGGCCAGGGGGCACCGGGCGGACCCGGGCCGCCCGCCGAAGCAACGGUUUGAAGGUAACGUUCACAAUGGUUUAGGGAGUUUUGCAACUCUGUAAUGAUCCCUCCGCUGGUUCACCAACGGA
rnacentral:misc_RNA from 1 species